GAAUAUGAAGGAAAACUGGCUGUGACAUCUGUCAACACAUUGACUUCCAGGGUUGAUACAGAUGGUCUGAGCCGAUCCCUGGUCUCCCUUACCACUUCAUUUGUGUCCCUUCCAGAGCUACGUGCUCAUUCAAAUCAAAUGACCUUCUGAAAAGGACCAGUCAUUAAGGGUAUUUAGAAGGUACAUUCCCUUUGUAUAAUUUUCAGGCAUAUUCAUACUUUAUUCAAAGGUACAUAAAUCUGUAGAAAAAAUAGACACAUUUUGGUUGGGUGAGUUCUUUUUCUG
rnacentral:snRNA from 1 species